rnacentral:lncRNA from 1 species
UAGUCAGCCAGUGGAAAGAUUUAGACAGAGAGAUAUGACCAGACUUGUGUUUUAGAAGAAUGGCUUUGGCAGCUGUAUGAGCAAAGGGCUUUCAGGAAGGAAGAACAAAUGCAGGGAGACAAGGUAAGAAGCUGCUGCAAUAGUCCAGCAUUUAUAGCUUCCUGGAGUCUGCUUUGAGCAACUGCUUUCCCUUGCCUUACCUUCCAAUACUCAAGCUCUUCAGCAACCUCACUGAGGCUGCCUGCCUGCAGAGCACAUGCUGUCCCAGGAGAGGUCCAGUUGGGAGGGGCUGGAGAGGUGCUAAGCCAAGAGGAUCCAGGGAGAGCAGAGGCAGCUCAACAAGAAGGGGUGUUAAGGGCCUUGCUCAGAAGAAGGCUGGCUCCGAGGAGCACAGAGCGGUUUGGCUGGAAGAUGAAGAAACCAAGGCACAGACUCAUGUCCAGGACCCUAAAACCAGUGCAUGGUGGAGCCAGCAUUCAAACCCAGCACACGGGACGCCAGAGUCCAUGCUCCUAACCACUACAUUGUGAUGCCUUGAAACUCAUGGCAGAGAAGAGUUUGAGAGAAAGGUUUCAGAAAGACAAAAGUAGAAAUCCUGAAAGACUCUGAGCAUAAAGUUAAUGCUGCAGCAAUAGAUUUAGAAAAAUGAUGCAUGAUGAUCUAAGUGGAAGGUGUGACAUACCCCCAAAGAAAUGCUGAAUUCCCCAGGUAGGGUGGGGAUCCAAACAAAGGGAGACUUGUGCCUCAUUUCCUUAGUGGAACCGAAGGAGCAACAAGCCUCCCCUUGCUCUCUCUCUAUACCUCCACCAGUCACAGGCAGAGAAAGUAAAGGUGGGGCCUGCUGAGCACGUCAGAGCAGAAUGGGCAUGGCAUAGCUCCGUCAAGUCUCCCAGAGCUCCAGAGCAGCACAAAAAGGCAUCCAAAUAUUUCCUGUGCUUCCCUGUCCUCUCACCUCAAGAGGGAUGCAAAAGACAAGGCUGGAGUGACCUCAAGCAGUCUAGCAGUCUUGAAAGUUGUAUGAACUGGAAACACAAGUCCAGAGGAGAACAAGGCCAUCUUGAGGAUACCAGCAAGGAUAGAUCACUAUGCCCGGAAGCCAAUAGGAGCCAUCACAAAUAAACAAGAAUUUCUGAGGACAAAGGUCCCCCUCUUGAUAGACAUCAAAGUAUGAUGACUUAAGGCCCCAGAACUUAGAGGCAACUCAGGGAGAAAAUGGUGGGGGAAAAAAAACUCCGGAACAGACUUAAUAAAUAAUUGACCAAAGGUAGCCUGAGUUGAAUAUGAUUGAAAUUAAGUUCAGUUACAGAAUAAUGUUAUAUUUGUUUUUUGCACAGAGGAUUUUGCAGCCUGAGACUUUUACCUGCUUGGCUAUAAAGAAAUAAAACUUGUUUACCUUUGCAAACAG